GGAAGAAGAAGAGGAAAAACUUUGAGGCAACAACAACUUGGAUUUCACGGGGUCAUCUCCAUUCCAGUGGCUCCACAAGGACCAGCAGGAAGCAGUCCUUUGUUGAAGAGCACAGAAACCAGGCAGGAGAACAACAAGAUGGCAGCAAUGGCAGACAGCAUGGAGAUGGUCUUCACUGGAGAGUACUGGACAUAAACACCAUCCUCAAGAGCGCA